rnacentral:lncRNA from 1 species
AUGCAUACAAUACCUAACCCUCCCAAUUAUACCCACAGAGAAAGCAAGACAUUGAGAGGUUUGGUAGUAUGCCCAUACUUGCAUGUCUGUGCACCAAGAAGCAAGAAGCCAAAGACAGCUGUUUCUGACUACAAAGACCAUUCUCACUUUACCAUAACAUGCAACAACUUGGACUAUCAGGCAUGGAUGGGUGUUUACAUCAUUUUUUACAACAGUGGAGUUUGCACUAUUGCUUUGAAAAUACUUUCUUGA